rfam:TPA: Bos taurus chromosome 17, whole genome shotgun sequence.
UCCCUGGUGGCUCAGAGGGUAAAGCAUCUGCCUGUGAUGCAGAAGACCCAGGUUUGAUCCCUAGGUCGGGAA